UCAGGGGAAGGAAGAUACGUAUCUUGUUGGACACGUGUUCAUAAGAGAAGAAAGGUCGUAAACGCCGACGAUGAAGGAAACCGAAGCAACCGGCGUUCCCGAUGAUUCGCAGUGACUUCAGUCUCCGCCGAUGCGACGGAGCAUAACCGGUCGGAGUGAUUGGAUCGGUGGAGGAAGCCGUAGGAGGAGCAGAGAAAUGGGUAGAUGAUUUGCAGCGGACGGUGAAGAAAUCGACGGAUUCCAUUAGGCGCUCCGCUCGUUCUCUCCGUGAAAACUCUACCUCUCAGUUCCGAUCUAUACAGGAUUUCAUUCCACAUGCUUUGAAUCAGUAUAAGACCUAUGAGACUGUUUUCUUCAGUAAAGUUACAGAGGUAUUGAGAAACGCCAAGGAGCAUCCCGCUGCUGCUGCUGGAAUUGGUCUCACUGCUGGUCUCGUUCUUUUACGAGGGUGUAAAGGUUCCUUAUGAGGAAGAGGAAGACGAUGGUGGAGAUGAUGAUAAAGAGAAGGAGAUUGUUUGGUAAGAUCUCUUACCAGAGGAAGUGAAGCAUAUGCGUUUAACAUAACUCAAUGAAGCAUGAAACAUCAGGUUCUUGUUACAAUUCAUAGAAUCUUUUGCUCUGUUUUUUUGUUCAUAUGCUGAGGGAUUGAAAUGAAAGUUUGUUGCUUUAAUCGACUGUUGGGUUCCAUCUCUGGUGUUUAUGAUAAGUUUUUUAAUACUUUGUUGGAACUAGAACUAGACCAUGAGUUGGUAUAGAAUCA